rnacentral:rRNA from 1 species
GUCUACGGCCAUACCACGUUGAAAGCACCAGUUCUCGUCCGAUCACUGAAGUUAAGCAACGUCGGGCUCGGUUAGUACUUGGAUGGGUGACCGCCUGGGAACACCGAGUGCUGUAGAUUCCU